rnacentral:rRNA from 1 species
UACGUAGGGUGCAAGCGUUGUCCGGAAUUAUUGGGCGUAAAGAGCUCGUAGGCGGUCUGUCGCGUCUGCUGUGAAAACUCAGGGCUUAACCCUGAGCUUGCAGUGGGUACGGGCAGACUAGAGUGCGGUAGGGGAGACUGGAAUUCCUGGUGUAGCGGUGAAAUGCGCAGAUAUCGAGGAGGGAACACCGGUGGCGAAGGCGGGACUCUGGGCCGAUACUGACG